rnacentral:miRNA from 1 species
UAUUAGGUUGGUGCAAAAGUAAUUGCAGUUCUUUGCAAUGACUUUUAAUGGCAAAAAUAGCAAUUACGUUUGCACCAACCCAAU